rnacentral:rRNA from 1 species
AAAUUGAAGAGUUUGAUCAUGGCUCAGAUUGAACGCUGGCGGCAGGCCUAACACAUGCAAGUCGAACGGUAACAGAAAGAAGCUUGCUUCUUUGCUGACGAGUGGCGGACGGGUGAGUAAUGUCUGGGAAACUGCCUGAUGGAGGGGGAUAACUACUGGAAACGGUAGCUAAUACCGCAUAACGUCGCAAGACCAAAGAGGGGGACCUUCGGGCCUCUUGCCAUCGGAUGUGCCCAGAUGGGAUUAGCUUGUUGGUGGGGUAACGGCUCACCAAGGCGACGAUCCCUAGCUGGUCUGAGAGGAUGACCAGCCACACUGGAACUGAGACACGGUCCAGACUCCUACGGGAGGCAGCAGUGGGGAAUAUUGCACAAUGGGCGCAAGCCUGAUGCAGCCAUGCCGCGUGUAUGAAGAAGGCCUUCGGGUUGUAAAGUACUUUCAGCGGGGAGGAAGGGAGUGAAGUUAAUACCUUUGCUCAUUGACGUUACCCGCAGAAGAAGCACCGGCUAACUCCGUGCCAGCAGCCGCGGUAAUACGGAGGGUGCAAGCGUUAAUCGGAAUUACUGGGCGUAAAGCGCACGCAGGCGGUUUGUUAAGUCAGAUGUGAAAUCCCCGGGCUCAACCUGGGAACUGCAUCUGAUACUGGCAAGCUUGAGUCUCGUAGAGGGGGGUAGAAUUCCAGGUGUAGCGGUGAAAUGCGUAGAGAUCUGGAGGAAUACCGGUGGCGAAGGCGGCCCCCUGGACGAAGACUGACGCUCAGGUGCGAAAGCGUGGGGAGCAAACAGGAUUAGAUACCCUGGUAGUCCACGCCGUAAACGAUGUCGACUUGGAGGUUGUGCCCUUGAGGCGUGGCUUCCGGAGCUAACGCGUUAAGUCGACCGCCUGGGGAGUACGGCCGCAAGGUUAAAACUCAAAUGAAUUGACGGGGGCCCGCACAAGCGGUGGAGCAUGUGGUUUAAUUCGAUGCAACGCGAAGAACCUUACCUGGUCUUGACAUCCACGGAAGUUUUCAGAGAUGAGAAUGUGCCUUCGGGAACCGUGAGACAGGUGCUGCAUGGCUGUCGUCAGCUCGUGUUGUGAAAUGUUGGGUUAAGUCCCGCAACGAGCGCAACCCUUAUCCUUUGUUGCCAGCGGUCCGGCCGGGAACUCAAAGGAGACUGCCAGUGAUAAACUGGAGGAAGGUGGGGAUGACGUCAAGUCAUCAUGGCCCUUACGACCAGGGCUACACACGUGCUACAAUGGCGCAUACAAAGAGAAGCGACCUCGCGAGAGCAAGCGGACCUCAUAAAGUGCGUCGUAGUCCGGAUUGGAGUCUGCAACUCGACUCCAUGAAGUCGGAAUCGCUAGUAAUCGUGGAUCAGAAUGCCACGGUGAAUACGUUCCCGGGCCUUGUACACACCGCCCGUCACACCAUGGGAGUGGGUUGCAAAAGAAGUAGGUAGCUUAACCUUCGGGAGGGCGCUUACCACUUUGUGAUUCAUGACUGGGGUGAAGUCGUAACAAGGUAACCGUAGGGGAACCUGCGGUUGGAUCACCUCCUUA